rnacentral:tRNA from 1 species
UGUUAUGUAGCUUAGUUGGUUAAAGCGCCGUUUUAGCGAAUACGGAGUCGUGGUUUCGAAUCUCACCAGAACGC